AUGACUGCGUCGUCGCCGAUGGUGCUGUCCCUCCUGCUCUUCGCCUCGCUCACGGCGCUGCUCGUCCUGGCCCCUCGCGCGUCGUCGCCGCCGCUGCCGCUGCCGCUGCCCGUGGUGGUUGGGGACGAGGAGGCGCCGCCCGCCGCCGGGGGUGGUGCUGCGGGGAGCAGCGGCGGUGGGGCGGGAGUUGAGGAGGGACCGGAGGACCUCGCGCUGUCCCGGCGCGUGACGCUCGACGCCAGCGAGGGCGCGGCGGUAGCGUCCAAGGUGGCGUUCAUGUUCCUGACCAACUCCGACCUCACCUUCGCGCCGCUUUGGGAGCGCUUCUUCGCGGGGCACGCUGACCGGUUCAACGUCUACGUGCACGCAGACCCGGCGGUGCGGCUGCGGCUCCCCCCUACGCCUUCCUUCCGGGGCCGCUUCGUCGCGGCUAAGCCGACGCGGCGCGGGGACCCGAGCCUCAUCGCUGCGGCGCGGCGCCUGCUUGUCGCCGCGCUACUCGACGACCCGGCCAACGCCUACUUCGCGCUGCUCUCGCAGCACUGCGUCCCGCUCCACUCCUUCCCGCGUCUCUACGAGGCGCUCUUCCCGCCCAAGGCCGCGCACCACCACCGCCUCCCGAGCUAUAUCGAGGUGCUCGCCGGCGAGCCCCAGAUGCCCGCGCGCUACGUGGCGCGCGGUGACGACGCCAUGCUCCCGGAGGUGCCCUUCGACCGGUUCCGCAUCGGCUCCCAGUUCUUCACGCUGGCCCGGCGCCACGCCGUGCUAGUCGUCCGCGAGCGCCGUCUCUGGCGAAAGUUUAGGGAGCCGUGCCUGCCGGAGUCGCAGGACUCGUGCUACCCGGAGGAGCACUAUUUCCCGACGCUUCUCGACAUGGCCGACCCCGCCGGCUGCACCCGGUACACGCUCACGCGCGUCAACUGGACCGACAGCUUCGAGGGCCACCCGCACACGUAUGCCGCGCCAGAGGUGUCGCCGCGGCUUAUCGCCGAGCUGCGCCAGUCCAACAGCUCCACCUAUGAGCACAUGUUCGCGCGCAAGUUCGCGCCCGACUGCCUUGGCCCGCUCAUGGCCAUCGCCGACACCGUCAUCUUCAAAGAUUGA
rnacentral:rRNA from 1 species